rnacentral:lncRNA from 1 species
CUGAUGCCAGCAUGGGUUGUUCAUCACCGCUGCUGUCCCUGCUGUCGCUCCUGGUUGGUGCGUGGCUCAGGCUAGGAAAUGGACAGGCUACUAGCAUGGUCCCACUGCCAGGUGGGAGAUUCCUGAUGGGAACAAAUUCUCCAGAUGACAGAGAUGGUGAAGGCCCUGUGUGGGAGGCAACAGUGAAACCCUAUGCUAUCGACAUAUUUCCUGUCACCAACAAAGAUUUCAG